rnacentral:misc_RNA from 1 species
UCUGUGCGUUGAUGGCUCGAAG